AAAAUAUCUCUCUUCCCUCAUUCAUAUAAAAUGUUGUGCUAUCUGCUUUUGAUUCAGACGCCUCACUUGAUGUAUUGGACCAUCCAGUUCUGAACUUAAUCUACUACAUGUUGGUCGAGAUUCUUCCUUCAGCUCUUGUAUUGUACAUCUUGCGUAAGCUGCCUCCAAAAAAAGUAUCAGCCCAGUACCACCCGAUCCGUUAGAAGUUCAGUAGUCUCGAAUCAGGAAAAAAAAGGAGAGCGAGCCUGGAAAACCAUCCAGGUGCAUAAUUGUUGUGGGAGUUGUCUGUUCCUUACAUGGAACUCGAGCUCGAACUCUAUCCAGUUAUUUUAUUUGCAAUUAAAGAAGUUAUUAAUUUAUAGAAUUGGUCUUGUAGUGUAACAUUGGAGGGUGUUGAUAUUUGUUUCUUCACUUAUAAUCUUUUUGCAUGUAACAACAAUUAGAUGCUGCUGGUGCUAUCCUGCUGUUGUCUUUUAAAGGACAUUGGCAAAUGUUGGAGGAUUUAUUUGUAAAAUUUCCUCAAGUGCAAAUGUAACUGUCAAUUUCCUAGUAGAAUUGCUUGAUUUUUCUUUUCUAA